UACAGGGGGUGCAACCGUUGCUCGGAAUUAUUGGGCGUAAAGCGCGCGUAGGCGGCUACCUAAGUCGGAUGUGAAAGCCCCUGGCUUAACUGGGGAAGUGCACCCGAAACUGAGUAGCUAGAGUGCGAAAGAGGGUCGCGGAAUUCCCGGUGUAGAGGUGAAAUUCGUAGAUAUCUGGAGGAACACCGGUGGCGAAGGCGGCGUUCUGGACUGUUUCUGACACUGAAAAACGAAAGCCAGGGGAGCAAACGGG
rnacentral:rRNA from 1 species